ACUGCUCUACUAGGGCUAACCCUAUGGGUCGUUCUGGAUCAGACUGCUCUACUAGGGCUAACCCUAUGGGUCGUUCUGGAUCAGACUGCUCUACUAGGGCUAACCCUAUGGGUCGUUCUGGAUCAGACUGCUCUGCUAGGGCUAACCCUAUGGGUCGUUCUGGAUCAGACUGCUCUACUAGGGCUAACACUAUUGGUCAUUCUGGAUCAGACUGCUCUGCUAGGGCUAACCCUAUGGGUCGUUCUGGACCAGACUGCUCUACUAGGGCUAACCCUAUGCCUAUGGGUCGUUCUGGAUCAGACUGCUCUACUAGGGCUAACCCUAUGGGUCGUUCUGGAUCAGACUGCUCUACUAGGGCUAACCCUAUGGGUCGUUCUGGAUCAGACUGCUCUACUAGGGCUAACCCUAUGGGUCGUUCUGGGUCAGACUGCUCUACUAGGGCUAACCCUAUGGGUCGUUCUGGAUCAGACUGCUCUACUAGGGCUAACCCUAUGGGUCGUUCUGGAUCAGACUGCUCUACUAGGGCUAAACCUAUGGGUCAUUCUGGAUCAGACUGCUCUACUAGGGCUAACCCUAUGGGUCGUUCUGGAUCAGACUGCUCUACUAGGGCUAACCCUAUGGGUCGUUCUGGAUCAGACUGCUCUACUAGGGCUAACCCUAUGGGUCGUUCUGGAUCAGACUGCUCUACUAGGGCUAACCCUAUGGGUCGUUCUGGAUCAGACUGCUCUACUAGGGCUAACCCUAUGGGUCGUUCUGGAUCAGACUGCUCUACUAGGGCUAACCCUAUGGGUCGUUCUGGAUCACUGCUCUACUAGGGCUAACCCUAUGGGUCGUUCUGGAUCAGACUGCUCUACUAGGGCUAACCCUAUGGGUCGUUCUGGAUCAGACUGCUCUACUAGGGCUAACCCUAUGGGUCGUUCUGGAUCAGACUGCUCUACUAGGGCUAACCCUAUGGGUCGUUCUGGAUCAGACUGCUCUACUAGGGCUAACCCUAUGGGUCGUUCUGGAUCAGACUGCUCUACUAGGGCUAACCCUAUGGGUCGUUCUGGAUCAGACUGCUCUACUAGGGCUAACCCUAUGGGUCAUUCUGGAUCAGACUGCUCUACUAGGGCUAACCCUAUGGGUCGUUUCUGGAUCAGACUGCUCUACUAGGGCUAACCCUAUGGGUCGUUCUGGAUCAGACUGCUCUACUAGGGCUAACACUAUGGGUCGUUCUGGAUCAGACUGCUCUGCUAGGGCUAACCCUAUGGGUCGUUCUGGAUCAGACUGCUCUACUAGGGCUAACACUAUGGGUCGUUCUGGAUCAGACUGCUCUGCUAGGGCUAACCCUAUGGGUCGUUCUGGACCAGACUGCUCUACUAGGGCUAACCCUAUGCCUAUGGGUCGUUCUGGAUCAGACUGCUCUACUAGGGCUAACCCUAUGGGUCGUUCUGGAUCAGACUGCUCUACUAGGGCUAACCCUAUGGGUCGUUCUGGGUCAGACUGCUCUACUAGGGCUAACCCUAUGCGUCGUUCUGGAUCAGACUGCUCUACUAGGGCUAACCCUAUGGGUCGUUCUGGAUCAGACUGCUCUACUAGGGCUAACCCUAUGGGUCGUUCUGGAUCAGACUGCUCUACUAGGGCUAACCCUAUGGGUCGUUCUGGAUCAGACGAGACUACAUCGGGAAUCACCCUAUGGGUCGUUCUGGGUCAGACGAGACUACAUCGGGAAUCACCCUAUGGGUCGUUCUGGGUCAGACGAGGCUACAUUGGGAAUCACCCUGUGGGUCGUUCAUUGGGACUCACCCCACCUGUAUCGUUAUAGGAAUAUUAUAAAAACACAUUUUUACAAUGUAUUUAAUUUACUGUAAUAAAAAACUAUAUUGACCAAA
rnacentral:lncRNA from 1 species